rnacentral:rRNA from 1 species
CCUACGGGUGGCAGCAGUGGGGACUAUUGCACAAUGGGGGAACCCCUGAUGCAGCGACGCCGCGUGAGUGAAGAAGUAAUUCGUUACGUAAAGCUCUAUCAGCAGGGAAGAAAAUGACGGUACCUGAGUAAGAAGCCCCGGCUCACUACGUGCCAUCCGCCGCGGUAAUACGUAGGGGGCAAGCGUUAUCCGGAUUUACUGGGUGUACAGGGAGCGUAGACGGUGCGCCAAGUCUUAAUUGAAAGGCCGCAGCUGAACUGCGGAACUGCUUUGGAAACUGGCGAACUAGAGUGCGGGAGGGGUAAGCGGAAGUCCUAGGGGAGCGGGGAAAUGCGUAGAUAUUAGGAGGAACACCGGUGUCGAAGGCGGCUGACUGGACCGUAACUGACGUUGAGGCUCGAAAGCGUGGGGAGCAAACAGGAGUAGAUACCCGAGUAGUC